AACGAACGCUGGCGGCAUGCCUAACACAUGCAAGUCGAACGAGACCUUCGGGUCUAGUGGCGCACGGGUGCGUAACGCGUGGGAACCUGCCCUUAGGUUCUGAAUAACUCCCCGAAAGGGGUGCUAAUACCGGAGAAUGUUUUCGGACCAAAGAUUUAUCGCCUUUGGAUGGGCCCGCGUUGGAUUUGCUUGUUGGUAGGGUAAAAGCCUACCAAGACGACGAUCCAUAGUUGGUCUGAGAGGAUGAUCAGCCACACUGGGACUGAGACCAGGCCCAGACUGGUGCGAGAAGCAGCGGAGGGGGAUAUUGGAGAGUGGGCGAAAGGCUGAGACGGCGAUGCCGGGUUAGUGGUGAAGGGGUUAGAGUUGUAAAGCUCUUUUGACCAAGAUGAUAGUGACGGUACCGGGAGAAUAAGCACCGGCUAACUCCGUG
rnacentral:rRNA from 1 species